GGGUCUCUAACUCAAUUGGUAGAGUAACUGACUUUUAAUCAGUAGGUUCCGAGUUCGAGCCUCGGGGGGCCCACCA
rnacentral:tRNA from 1 species